rnacentral:rRNA from 1 species
GAUGAACGCUGGCGGCGUGCCUAAUACAUGCAAGUCGAGCGAACAGACGAGGAGCUUGCUCCUCUGACGUUAGCGGCGGACGGGUGAGUAACACGUGGAUAACCUACCUAUAAGACUGGGAUAACUUCGUGAAACCGGAGCUAAUACCGGAUAAUAUAUUGAACCGCAUGGUUCAAUAGUGAAAGACGGUUUUGCUGUAACUUAUAGAUGGAUCCGUGCCGCAUUAGCUAGUUGGUAAGGUAACGGCUUACCAAGGCGACGAUGCGUAGCCGACCUGAGAGGGUGAUCGGCCACACUGGAACUGAGACACGGUCCAGACUCCUACGGGAGGCAGCAGUAGGGAAUCUUCCGCAAUGGGCGAAAGCCUGACGGAGCAACGCCGCGUGAGUGAUGAAGGUCUUCGGAUCGUAAAACUCUGUUAUUAGGGAAGAACAAAUGUGUAAGUAACUAUGCACGUCUUGACGGUACCUAAUCAGAAAGCCACGGCUAACUACGUG